rnacentral:lncRNA from 1 species
AAAGAAUGUUCUAGUAACAUUUACAGUAAAUCUUUGCUGAAACACUGUAAAAUCCUUUUCAACCCUAUGCUGAACCCAUUGAUCUACAGCCUGAGGAAUGCAGAGGUCAAGGGCGCCCUGAGGAGAGUGCUGUACAAGCAGAGGCACAUGUGAGGGACAGUGAAAAUCAACAUGGUAGGUGGCAUUUUUUCACCUUAUGCUAUAAUAAGUACCAUGUUAAAAUAGAAUA